GUUUUCUAAACUCAGCCACCAUACGUUUCACUUCAUCUAAAUGACUCCCUUUAAGUGACUCAGCAGCAACACCCCAGUUCAAAGGGUCCACCACUACACCAACACCACCAUUUGUGGUGCUGCAAAAGCUCUGCAAAUGGCCAUUUGAGGUACCAUUUUGAGUGAUGGAGGUACCAUUUUGAGUGAUGGACUCCAUUGAAAUGAGAAGCAAAGAUUGACCCAGGAAAGAAUAUACAAAAUGGGGAGCUGUUUAAGAGUGAAGAAAUGAGAGAAAUGAAAGGGGGAGUUAAAUAAGGGAGGGGGAAGGAAGGGGGUAGGUAAGCAUAAGGGGGUGUUGGUUGAGAAAGGUUAAAGAAGGACCGUUUGUUCGAGGAUUAAUCGAAAGGAGGGAAAGAAAAGAGCGUGGAUUGGAUUUGGAUCACUGACAAUAAUCAAAGGGGAAAAUAAAUAUUUAUAUAUAUAUGUAUGUGUGUAUAUAUAUUGACUGGUGAAAGUACUGGUGGAUGGCUGGCGAUGGCUAUGGGGGUUGGUGGAAGCUGAGGACUAUAUUGUUGAAUGCAUGCAUGUUUUAAAAAAGAAAAAGAGUUUUAGUGCUCACUGCCC
rnacentral:lncRNA from 1 species